rnacentral:rRNA from 1 species
CCUUAAGAACGCUGGCGGCGUGCCUAACACAUGCAAGUCGCGCGCGAAUGGAGCAAUCCUAGUAGAGCGGCGAACGGGUGCGUAACACGUGGGUAAUCUGCCCGAGAGCCCGGAAUAACCUGCCGAAAGGCAAGCUAAUACCGGAUAAGCUCACGAGGUCCUCGGACCUCGAGAGAAAAGGUGGCCUCUGUACACAAGCUACCGCUUUUGGAUGAGCCCGCGGCCCAUCAGCUUGUUGGCGGGGUAAUGGCCCACCAAGGCUACGACGGGUAGCUGGUCUGAGAGGACGAUCAGCCACACUGGAACUGAGACACGGUCCAGACUCCUACGGGAGGCAGCAGUGGGGAAUUUUGCGCAAUGGGCGAAAGCCUGACGCAGCAACGCCGCGUGUGUGAUGAAGGUCUUCGGAUCGUAAAGCACUUUCGACCGGGACGAAAACCUGUUGGCUAACAUCCAGCAGCUUGACGGUACCGGGAGAAG